CUGCUUCCCUCCUGGAAUUUUCUCCACUUUUAGCAAACGUGUGCUCAACUUGUAAAUGUAGUUUCCAGCACUGCAUAAGAAAUUUGCUCAUGCAGUUAUGGAGGCUGAAAAGUCCCGUAAUCUGUUGUCUGCAAACUGGAGACCAAGAUGAGGCAGCGGUAUAGUUCCGGGACAAGUCUGAAGGCCUGGAAACCAACAGCACCAAUAGCAUGCGAAGAUGAUAAAAUGCAAUCACCAAGUGUCAGUCGGAUGAAGAAGCCUCCAGGAAAGCUGCAGCCAACCAAUGAGACUGGAUUUCUCAAUCUUGCUCCGGAAAUGCCUGACCCAGGAUCAUUUUGUGCUGAGUGUUUGCAACUGAAUCAUAGCUGUCUGUGCUACAGGAUCGUCCCUGGGU